ensembl:lncRNA
CUGAGCUUACGUUUCCUCAUUUAAAUGGGAGAUUUUCCCAAAACUGACAAAUCUCCCCACACUUCCAUAUCUCACUCUGCAUUUGUUUGUGCUUUAAUUUAGCUGCACUAGCACCACUGUCCUGGGGCCACUGCAAAAUCAAAACAAAUGACGUAUACAGUAGUUUCUCUCUCUCUCUCUUUCUCGAUCUCUCUCAAGCCUCUCUGACAGCCCCUCCCAGCUGAAGGCAAUCCAACAAUGUCCUGCUCAUUGAUCAGAGAGCCGAUCGGUGCGCGGUGGAGGUAAAUGGCUGUCAUGUGAAUGAUGGACCUUAACUCAGCCAUGGUUGCUCCUGAGGCCACUCAGCCUCCACUUAUAGUGAUGGAUGCAACAAUGUCGCCCAUCCCAUUCUUGAGGGUGGGGAUGACUUUGGGCCAUCGCUACCGGAGUCGGAAACAAUUAACACAAAACAUUGGAUUUAGAAAUCAAAAAAAAAAAGAAGGUUUGGAUAGACUAAGAAGACAUGCGUUUUCAGAGGUUGAGUAGGGCUCCUCAUCAAGAAGAAUAAUUGUUGCGCUAAAUACAGUGUGGAGUCCACAAACAUUGGCAACAGGUCAGCAGGAUGACCUACUAGACUGAAACAGCUGUGUGUACAAAGCUUCUGCCAGCCAAAAGGUUUGCUCGCAUAGUCUCAGCAUUUGGCAGUCUACCAGCUCUGGGAAAUAUUCAUCAAAUUAUGAGCUCUUAUCCAUCAUUAGGCUGGGCUGUAAACGACCGGGAGUAAAUAAAUCACAGCUGAACAAACUGCAGGCAGUUAAAACGGUGAACAAGGUGUUUGAACAAAGCAGAGUACUUUAAGCCUGUUUGUGGGAGGUUUUGGGAUUGUAGGACCCCUCCACCCUCAGUGGCCGAGGUCUUAUUUAACCAUAGUAUCACAAAGAAAUUAGGAAAUGAAUGCAGGGAAAAUACAAAGUCACAGGCACUCUCAAUUAAAAUCCUAGAUGAUGAUUCAGCGGCAUGUAAAGGCUGAGUUCUGUAGUUUCCAAAAAUGUGCUCCUUCGAGGUGGAUGUAUAAAGAGACACAGUGACGGAGGCAAGGCCCUGUUCAUUCCUUUGAAGGCCGCAUACUAAAGAACAUUUUAAAAAAAAGUUUGACUUAAAGAUAGGGCGGUAUGGUGGCAACACUAGCAAACACAACAGCUAACAUGCUAAGAAGCUAACAUGCCGGCCAGUUGCAGCUGUUGAACAGCUGUUUGGGUGGCUGGUGGUCCUUUUCGGGGUUAAAGUGUUAUGUUGUGUUAUGUUAAAAAAAAAUAUUGUGAUACACCGGGAUACCGACAGAAUCUGGCAGAAUACCGUAACAUUUUGAUUAAAUUACUCGGAUCAUCCGGCCAUCACCUCAUCCGGUGGCCCCUGAGCACAAGUGUGCUAGGUUUUCCUCUCCUUAACCCGCCUCCAGGCCGGCACUCAAGCCUCCAUUGUUCUAGUUCAUAUGCGAGGGAGGGGGGGCAUGGCUAUUUUCUGGAUCAGGGCUAUCAAGCGUUCGUACUAGGAAAAAUCGCUGUUGAUGUCUCUUUCUAAGUCAAUGGUAAAGGGCAUGUUUAAUGGAUUAAGUAGGCCAGGAAGUUGUAAUAGCUUCAAAGCCGGGUGCUGUUCUUGGUGGCUUGGCUCUUUCUCAGAAAAAAAGACAUUCUCUUUGCCCCCCCCAUCUUAUCUUAGAAACAAAUGGAUUAGUGGUUAGUUCCAGAAAAAAAAAGGUUUUGGAUCCCGAGCCUCGUUUACCCCUAUCCAAACCAUAUCAAAGGGUUUUUUCAACAGUGAAUCAAUGCAAAUCCUGAGCUUCAAAUGAAAGGAGGUUUUAAUAACGACAGUUAACAUUAUUCCUUCAGAGCGGGUUUCAAUCAAUCAAUUUUCUUUGUGUUUUUAAUUUGAAAGGUGGCUGGACGUUGUUGUCCCGUGUUGUUGUCCCGUUGUUGAUCGUAGUGGGUGUUCGUCCUGGGUGCAUCAGACAAUGAAGGGGAAUGAUUUUCAGAGAGCUGUCAGGCUUUCAUCAGCAUAUAAAGGAAGAGGGAAGAUGUUCACCUCGAGACCGGACGGUAUCAUUCACAACAGCAAUAAAUACCCAAAUAAUUCACCACGUUUUUUACUUUUGCUUAAAACCCUAAACUAAGAUCCUAAGAAAAUGAAGCAUUGCUGCAAAAAAAAGGUUGAUCCAAUUAUUUUUAAAAGGUGGCUUCACAAGCUAUUUCAAGCACUUUCAGAUGCACUGCACAGUGCGCAUCAAGAUGGAGCUCGCUCAUCUGUCUGAAAGCUUCUGAAAAAUCUAGUUAGUACAUUUGAGUUAAGAUGUUUACACUACAGCUGAAUGCAAUAGCACAUUUCCUUCUCAAGCCUUCA